rnacentral:lncRNA from 1 species
AAACUGUUCACGAUCAAAUGAUAGGCUGUUAAUAAGGACGACAGCUUCUAUCGAGCAUAGGUCGCUGUAGGCCAUAUGGGUUGGUUGUCCUCUUAACCAAGAAGUGUGGAGACACUGGUAUGGCAUACAGGUAAGAUGUAAGGGUACAUCGUCAUUGAACGUGAUCAACUCCAGAGCAUUCUGCUGUCGAGAAUGUCUCUGAUGG